rnacentral:misc_RNA from 1 species
GUUCUGUUCAGCCAGAAAGUUUAUGCGAAGUUUGAUAAAGUGAGAAGACAAGGGAAUCUUCUUGGGAAAAGAACUGUGGCUGGCAGGGGUGUAAAGGAAAGCUAUGGUUCAGCCAAACAGCAACAUACAUUUACAGUUGAAGUACUGUGGAGCAAGGGGAUAAAGAAAUUGCCUCCACUUUUUCCUUUGCUUCUGAAAGUUUUUAAUCUGUAGAGGUUUCGGCAGCGUUGGAAUAAUGAAGUAGAAAGAGAAAUAGUCCUUGCUGAGAAGCACAAACGAGGUAGAGCUGCAAGACUUGUGAGAGCAAUGAAGAAAUCGAAGAAAAAACUGUCUGCAAAUGGUCGUUUGACUGGAGAUGUGAAGCAUAAAAAAUGCUCCCAUCAUCAUGUGGGAUCGUUUCAAACAAGACAAUCGGCUGAACCAGCAACGAGGAAGCAUGCUUACGGGCACAAAAGAGAUAUGCUACAACAAUAUGUCAAAGUUAAUAAUCAUCAUCAAGAGGUUCCACCAUCUAGACAACUGAACUCGAAGAGAAAUAUCAGGUCAGAAGUUGGUUCUAAGACUACUUGGAGGCAUCAGAAAUGGGGGCGCUUCAAUGUGGACAUUGACCCAGAUCUUCGCUCACAUACUUACACUCGCCAAGGUCCUUUCCCAUCACAAAUGGAACAUCAGCGUAAUGAACGAUUUCAUUUCUCUGGUCAUGAAAUGGGCUCCACUUCAACUAUGAUGAAGUUGCCUCCUUUGAGACGUUGAUACACUUUUGAUGACUGCUUUCCAACAUCAGGGGUUUAACCAUACGAAUGAUAUCUCCGUGCCCAUUCAAAACCUCACUACAACUUUGAAAGGCCAAAUUUAAAGCAUUUUUCUGAGUUGAUUAACGCUGAUAGGUCAUUUCAUCAAUUUUCUCA